AUUGAACGCUGGCGGCAGGCCUAACACAUGCAAGUCGAACGAGUGGCGGACGGGUGAGUAAUGUCUGGGCAACUGCCCGAUGGAGGGGGAUAACUACUGGAAACGGUAGCUAAUACCGCAUACCAUCGGAUGAGCACAAAUGGGAUUGGCUAGUGGGGGGGGUAACGGCUCACCUAGGCGACGAGCCCGAGGUGGGCUGAGAGGAUGACCAGCCACACUGGAACUGAGACACGGCCCAGACUCCUACGGGAGGCAGCAGUGGGGAAUAUUGCACAAUGGGCGCAAGCCUGAUGCAGCCAUGCCGCGUGUAUGAAGAAGGCCUUCGGGUUGUAAAGUACUUUCAGCGGGGAGGCGUUACCCGCAGAAGAAGCACCGGCUAACUCCGUGCCAGCCGCCGCGGUAAUAC
rnacentral:rRNA from 1 species